rnacentral:rRNA from 1 species
GACGAACGCUGGCGGCGUGCUUAACACAUGCAAGUCGGACGGUAAGGCCCUUCGGGGUACACGAGUGGCGAACGGGUGAGUAACACGUGGGUGAUCUGCCCUGCACUUCGGGAUAAGCCUGGGAAACUGGGUCUAAUACCGGAUAGGACUCCGGACUGCAUGGUCUGGGGUGGCAAGCUUUUGCGGUGUGGGAUGGGCCCGCGGCCUAUCAGCUUGUUGGUGGGGUGAUGGCCUACCAAGGCGACGACGGGUAGCCGGCCUGAGAGGGUGACCGGCCACCCUGGGACUGGGCUACUGCCCAGACUACACCGUGAGGCAGGAGUGGGGAAUAAUGAUCAAGGUGCGGAAGACUGAUGCAGCUACGCCGCGGGAUGGAUGACGGCGUUCGAGCUGUAAACCUCUUUCAGCAUCGACGAAGCGAAAGUGACGGUAGGUGCAGAAGAAGGACCGGCCAACUACGGGCCAGCCGCCGCAGUAA